rnacentral:lncRNA from 1 species
GGGUCAGAACUCUCUGUGAUGUCAUCCUAUCCUUUGGAAUCUGUAUUCUUCUUCUAAGUGCAGUACUGUACUUUUUAUAAAAUAACUCUUGCAGAUGGGAGAAUUUUUAUGGGUAGAAUUUGGGACAUGGGUUCAUUUCAUCUUUCUUGACACCUCCUCCAGCUCCAACUUCCUCCUCCUUUAAGUGCAUACACCUGAAUCACCACCUCCACUUGCAAACUCUUCCUGGUUAGAGCAACUAUCCGUAUGGUGCUCAGCUUCCAGAUGGAGAAUUGUCUAGAUAUUGAAAAGGAAACCAACCUUCAUGGAUUACAGGCAGCCUUAGUGGGAGCCCUCCCUUUCCCCUUGGUGUUGUGAUGAGGGGAGCUUCAACACUGACAGCAACAACCACUCCAAGCCUAAUAGAUUGUGUGUCCUGCUUUUCUCAAAGACUAAACUCUGACAGAGUAGCUGGAAUGCCUGAGAAGCAUUACAACAACAAAGGCAAACAUCUUAAAAUAGAAGAGACAGAAAAAAGAAGGAGAACAGAUAAGAAUCAAACUGUGAGUUAGUUAAAUUAGCAUGAUUUGCUAAGGAUUUGGCUGAGAAGAGACACCGAUGAAGGGAAACCAUGAACUGCAUGGGAUGAUUCCAUCUCGCUUAAUAUGCCUGAGGUGGAGGGACCUUUGAGCUUGUUCCCUUGAAUCCAUUGCAGCUGGUACCCCAAGUCUAUAAAGCCUGCUUCCAAUGAUCUGAGGGAUGAGAUAAGGGUUCCAAUCACCUAAAAACAUC